rnacentral:rRNA from 1 species
UGCCUGGUAGUGGGGGAUAACGUUCGGAAACGGACGCUAAUACCGCAUACGUCCUACGGGAGAAAGCAGGGGACCUUCGGGCCUUGCGCUAUCAGAUGAGCCUAGGUCGGAUUAGCUAGUUGGUGGGGUAAUGGCUCACCAAGGCGACGAUCCGUAACUGGUCUGAGAGGAUGAUCAGUCACACUGGAACUGAGACACGGUCCAGACUCCUACGGGAGGCAGCAGUGGGG